CCUCAAAUCAGGUAGGACUACCCGCUGAACUUAAGCAUAUCAAUAAGCGGAGGAAAAGAAACUAACAAGGAUUCCCCUAGUAACUGCGAGUGAAGCGGGAAAAGCUCAAAUUUAAAAUCUGGUGGUCUCCGGCCAUCCGAGCUGUAAUCUAGAGAAGUGUUACCCGCGUCGGACCGUGUACAAGUCUCCUGGAAUGGAGCGUCAUAGAGGGCGAGAAUCCCGUCUUUGACACGGACCCCCGAGGCUCUGUGGUGCGCUCUCAAAGAGUCGAGUUGUUUGGGAAUGCAGCUCAAAAUGGGUGGUAAAUUCCAUCUAAAGCUAAAUAUUGGCGAGAGACCGAUAGCGAACAAGUACCGUGAGGGAAAGAUGAAAAGAACUUUGGAAAGAGAGUUAAACAGUACGUGAAAUUGCUGAAAGGGAAACGCUUGAAGUCAGUCGCGUCGGCCGGAAAUCAGCCUUGCUCUUGCUUGGUGUACUUUCUGGUUGACGGGCCAGCAUCAGUUUUGACCGGUGGAUAAAGUUGUGAGGAAUGUGGCAUCUUCGGGUGUGUUAUAGCCUCGCUUCGUAUACAUCGGUUGGGACUGAGGAACUCAGCACGCCGAAAGGCCGGGGUUCGCCCACGUUCGUGCUUAGGAUGUUGGCAUAAU
rnacentral:rRNA from 1 species